rnacentral:rRNA from 1 species
UACGGAGGGUGCGAGCGUUGUCCGGAAUCACUGGGCGUAAAGGGCGCGUAGGCGGCGCGGGAAGUCCGUGGUGAAAGCCCGAGGCUCAACUUCGGGUCGGCCAUGGAUACUCCUGGGCUCGAGCACUGUAGAGGCAGGUGGAAUUCCGGGUGUAGCGGUGGAAUGCGCAGAUAUCAGGAGGAACACCGGUGGCGAAGGCGGGUCUCUGGGCAGUAACUGACGCUGAGGAGCGAAAGCGUGGGGAGCGAACAGG